CAGGCUUAACACAUGCAAGUCGAGGGGUAUAGGGAGCUUGCUUCCUAGAGACCGGCGCACGGGUGCGUAACGCGUAUGCAAUCUACCUUUUGCAGAGGGAUAGCCCAGAGAAAUUUGGAUUAAUACCUCAUAGUAUGUGAGAAUGGCAUCAUUUUCACAUUAAAGUCACAACGGUGAAAGAUGAGCAUGCGUCCCAUUAGCUAGUUGGUAAGGUAACGGCUUACCAAGGCAACGAUGGGUAGGGGUCCUGAGAGGGAGAUCCCCCACACUGGUACUGAGACACGGACCAGACUCCUACGGGAGGCAGCAGUGAGGAAUAUUGGACAAUGGGCGCAAGCCUGAUCCAGCCAUGCCGCGUGCAGGAUGACGGUCCUAUGGAUUGUAAACUGCUUUUAUACAGGAAGAAACACUACUUCGUGAAGUAGCUUGACGGUACUGUAAGAAUAAGGAUCGGCUAACUCCGUG
rnacentral:rRNA from 1 species